rnacentral:tRNA from 1 species
GGGGGUGGAUGGCGCAGUGGUUAGCGUCGCCAUCAUGGAAAGUUUUCAUUUUACUGCAAUUGUGAAAACUCUGGGUUCGAAACCCAGCACCCUCA